CAGCCUCUGGACACAAGAGAUGGAUGGC
rnacentral:piRNA from 1 species